rnacentral:rRNA from 1 species
AACGAACGCUGGCGGCAUGCCUAACACAUGCGAGUCGAACGAGACCUUCGGGUCUAGUGGCGCACGGGUGCGUAACGCGUGGGAAUCUGCCCUUGGGUUCGGAAUAACAGUUAGAAAUGACUGCUAAUACCGGAUGAUGACUUCGGUCCAAAGAUUUAUCGCCCAGGGAUGAGCCCGCGUAGGAUUAGCUUGUUGGUGAGGUAAAGGCUCACCAAGGCGACGAUCCUUAGCUGGUCUGAGAGGAUGAUCAGCCACACUGGGACUGAGACACGGCCCAGACUCCUACGGGAGGCAGCAGUGGGGAAUAUUGGACAAUGGGCGAAAGCCUGAUCCAGCAAUGCCGCGUGAGUGAUGAAGGCCUUAGGGUUGUAAAGCUCUUUUACCCGGGAUGAUAAUGACAGUACCGGGAGAAUAAGCCCCGGCUAACUACGUGCCAGCCGCCGCAGUAA